CGGCACCUCUCAGGUGGGCACCAUUGCCAUUCUAAGAGAACAAAGGAGGUGUUCAUGGUGAGUUCCGGCACCUCUUUUCCUAGAAAAAUAGCACUGCUCUAUGUUCAUACUUUCUAAAAAAAUCAGGCCUCCCCCAUUUGUGUCCUACGAAGCUAAAUGUAACCCACUAGCCAUGCCUUUGUGGCCUACCACAGUGCCUGGCCACCCCCUCACCCGCUCCUUGUAACUUCUCACCGCUUGAUGUGCACUUUGGUACCUCAGCAAAAACAAUUUAGGUCCUUUAAACGAGGCACAUGCAUAGAUUCCAUAAACAACUUCUGCCAGUUUCACGUGAGUGUGCGAUUCACACAUGUGAAAGGGGAGGGAAGGCAUCUUUCCUUCUCCAUCCACCCCCCUCACAACUGGCAACUAGGCCUCUGGGCAAUUUCCUACCAACCCAGUGGGCCUACAUAUAUACCACUGUAGCUACCCACUGUACUGGGGCACAGCACUGUUGAUCUCAGCCCUGCAUGCCAUGUCAUGGCCCCCUGCUUCACACCCGGAGUGUUUUUGCCUGGCUGGAAUGUGUCCUCCGGUAAUGCCUCUGGAUAAAUGGUGCAGAGGGGUGUGUGAGGGUGUGUAGAAACUAGCCUCUUGUCCCACUGGUACAAUGUGGGUGACAGUAGCAGAGCAGUGUGGUGAUGUGGCAAUUGGCAACUGUGGGCCUUGGCUCUCACCCAUACUUCCCCCUGUGGCCCUGUCUCCUGACCUGUACCAGAUUUUCCCCCACUCCAUCAAAUCACAAAAUUGCAAUCCCAUUUGUGUGAGAUCUCAUUUCGGCUCUUCUUGUUGUCUCUGUUUUCCUCCCUGAUGGAUGUGGUGUCAGCAAGAUGCUCUUUGUAUCUAACCAUGGAAAGAAUCAUCAGGGAAAACUGUAAGAAGCCAUGUCUGUGUGAGAGAAAUAUUGAUGAACAGGACGUUGUGGGGUGGAGUGCUAAUUAAAUAGAAGUUAUGUCAUCUGCUAGCUGUCAGGAUCUAAUUGAAUUAGAAUUGAGGAGGUGAGAUUAAAAGGCAGAUAAUACGAAAGCAGCAUGGCUUGGCUAGGUAAAAAGAGAGAGAGAGCUUACAAAAUCCUAUUUCUAAGUUCUUCUUUGGAAUAGGAGAGUGAAUGCCCUCUCACUUGACAGAUUCAGUCUAAAAGCCCUGUAAGAUGUGCAGCAAGGGAAGAGGCUUGUGAAGGAAAACCAGGCCCCAUAAUAAUUUGGCAUGCAGAUGCAAACUGAUGUAGGGAUGGAGGAGAAAUUCAAUUCAGUUUGCAUUUCAAGGUGAACCUAGCUAAUCUGCACUUUCAGAAACAAAACACGGCCAUCAUUCCAAAUUUGGAACACAGUUACCCAGCCAAGUAAUGUGUGCAAAACUACAUAACUUGAUGUAAAGGGUGCAUAAAAAUGCAUAUAUUUGUGAAAAUGUUUGGUUUUGGUAAAAGGGAAAUAGCAGUGGUAUAAUAAAAGGAAAAAAUCCCUGGGUGCCUAGAUCCAGGUUUGGGGCAAGUAUUUUUUGGUGAAAGAGCCUCUGUAGAGAUUUAAAAUCACAAAACAAGCAGCAAUAGAAAGCAUGGAAAUAUAGGCUGUUAGACCUUUAAAACAUCCCCUUCUAAGUUGCUUUCAAAAAUUCCCACUUCCCUUAGCAUAGAACCAUAAAUGGUUUACUUACAAAUUAUUCAAAGGUCAGAUUAAUAUGCUUUUCCAUACAGCAGCAAAAAAAGACAAGCUGUUUAACUUAGUUUCAAAAUGGUAAAUGUUUCUAAAUUAGAUGGCUUGCUAAAGCCACACAGUCUAAGCUUGGGGCAUCCAACUUAGACAUCCUUACUGGUUCACAUGGUGGAAAAACUUAGAACAAAGAUUUUGGUAACCAUUUCUCCCAAGGUGAGAGGGUGUGACCUAUCUAAGCCUAGCAGGGCAUCUUACUAUAUGGUCUUACCUCUUCAUGCAUGAAUUAUAGUUAAGCAUGUUGGCUAUAUGAGACUGAAUAUAUCCCACAAAAAUAACAUUUUUAAAAACUCAUCAGAUUAGGGAAGACUGCUUUUCAAAAAUGUGUAGAUUAGGCAAAAUUGCAUAUAAGCAUGUGUAUAUUAGGGGGGGAAACCAUGCUAAAAUGCUGGUGAAUUUCCAUAAGGACUUUAAAACAAGCAAACAAACAGUCUCAAAGUGGAGAAUUGAACUUAAGAAUGAAAAAAAUGAGGAAACUGAGAGAAACUGGCAAGUACAUUGUCAGAGCUAUCCCAAGGUGUUUUUGCUAUCUGAGGCAAAUCAGCAUACGACACAUACACCAGUCGUGGUUGGUCAAGUUAUUUUGAGACCUGAGGCAGAAAAGCACAAAACAGUCUCUCCUUCUCCUGGCAAUAAUAAAAAUAAUAAUUGGGCGGGGGACGGGGGACACCUAACUAAAUAGCUAACCACUUGCUACUGUUCCAUGACAACCCAAAACCAGCUGCCUGUGGCACCUUCCUCAUUCUACCUAACAGCAGGCUAUCUGCCUGAGUGUGCUCAGGAAUGCUCACUCAGGGCGCAUGAGAUGAGGCACCAUUGCUGCACCAUCCUCCUGGCUGCAGCAGCAUUUCUGCUCACAGGGAUGAGGUGGGGCAGAAUGGAAGGAAAGGAGGGGGGAAGCACAAGGGAGGAUGGGGGACACACACAUCUUCACCCACUUCUGCCACCAACCCAGUGCUCCCACAUCCUUACCACCACUCUGCCCUGUCUAUCCUGGCCCCUCCAAGCAGCAGUGCCUCUGCAGCUGGGCUGACAGCACAGCAGUGGUUCCCAUUUCACAUGCUGCCCUUGGGAAUGCCAGACCUGCUGCCUUAGGAGGAUGGAAUUUUGUUCAAGGGGACACUAGAUCAGAGAUGGGGAAUCUGUACCCCUCCUGUUCUUGUUGUUGAACUCCAGCUCCCAUCAGCCCCAACAAGCAUGGUCCAUGUUCAGGGACAAUGGGAACUGUAGUCCAGCAACAACUGGAGGGCCACAGGUUCCCCAUCGUUUCACUAGAGGAAGCAUGUUUACAACAGGCAUGUAUGACACUAGUCAUACUUACAGCACAUCAAGCACCAAAUUUAAGAAGCACACUUCAGCCGGAAGGUCCCAUGCAAGCCCCGUUGAAAUGAGCAGAGGUUGCUGUGCAAAAACACUAUUGUGGUCCUGGCACAACACCCAUUCAUUUCUGUGGGGCACGCAAAGCAGAACUUCGAGGUGGACUUUUGCUUGUCAUAAGCUGGUGGUCAUAAUCUGCACAAGUCCAGGUGACUGCCAACGCAAUCAUAGUCUUUGUUGUCUGUUUAUAGCAUCACACACACAACAUGAAUCCAGCUUUUCAAUGGCACCAUGUUCAGCAGAUACGGGCACUUGGCCCUCAUUCUGUCCAUGUGGAAGUGUGCCUAGUUUUCUUUUGGAACAUCUUCAUAAAGGUUUAUUUUGCUUUAUAAUUAACUUAUGAGCUGAUGAAUGGGUUCUAAUAUGCAACAUGUUUAAUUUCGGUUUGACCUGAUUUAUAGCAUGAUACCAAACCACAGGUGAAGGUUUUAAUUAAGUAGGUGGCGACUCUGAUUCAGCACAUGAAGUGAAACUGAAGCGGUGAUAAAUUUGAUUUGGAAGGCGAUGCAUCAUUUUGAGUACAAAAUGUAUUAAAUUUAUUGUGCAAUGUAUUUGUUGCACUGCAUGAUGUAUAGCUUAUACAAAUGUGCUACAUUUUUUAUUUUUGUCACUCCUGUAGGAUUUUUUAAGGUUUACUAAGUCACUAUCCCAUGAAAUAAAGUUUUGUGCUACUGCCUUUUAAACUUUGCAAAAUUAAAAAGAGAUCUAAAGCAGUCCUGGUCAGUAAUAAUGUUUAGCAUUUAUACAGCUCGAUUGUUCAAAGCACUUCAGAUAUAUAGUAUCAUAAAGUGUCCAUAUCAAAAGAAGUAAUAGUACCACUCUAUUCUACCUUGGUCAGACCCCACCUGGAGUACUUUGUCCAGUUCUUGGCUUCACAGUUUAAGAUUUGUCCACUUAAGGCAUCACGGGAUAUCAAGAAGCUGGAAUGUGUGCAGAAGAGGGCAACCAAGAUGAUAGAUGUGAAAAUUAAAGUCUUAUGAGGAACAGUUGAGGGAGUUGAAUAUGUUUACCCUGGAGAAGAGAAGACUGAAAGAUGAUAUGAUAGCCAUCUUCAAAUAUCUGAACGGCUGUCACAAAGAAGUUGGAGCAAACUUGUUUCCUGCUGCUCCAGAGGGUAGAACCAGAACCAAUGGAUUCAAAUCCAAGGAAGAGAAUUCCAACUAAACAUUAGGAAUAAUCUUCUGAUGGUAAAAGCUGUUUGACAGUGGAAUGGGCUACCUUGGAAAGUGGUAGACUCUCCUUCAUUGGAAGUUUUUAAACAGGGUUUUUAAACUUCAUUGGAAGUUUUAAAUAUCUAUCAGAUAUUCUUCAGCUGUGAUUCCUGAAUCGUAGGGGGUUGGACUAGAUGGCUCUUGGGAUCUCUUCCGACUCAACAAUUCUAUGCUCUCAGAUUGGACUAACCUGUGCCUCCCCAAACUGAAUCCAGCCCACCAAGCCCCAGAAAGUGGCCCACCUGCCCCGAAGCUUUAGCUUAACAUUUCUUUAUUAGCUUUAUUUAGCCAACCAAAAAACAAAGCAUCCUGCCUGUUCUUUAGUGAGAGAUCUAAAGAACUGGCAGAGCACUAUCUCUCCCAAUCAGAGAUAGAAGGCAUCAUAGCACAUAAGCAUCUUAUACUGGUGGUAAAGCCAUCUGCUUGCUCUUUAAGAGUAGAAGGCAGCAUUCCAGCCCCCACAUCACUCCAGUGCUGGAAUUUUGUGCUAAAAUAGGAGAGCAAACCCUUCCCACCCCAGGUGCUCUUUACAGAUCACACUAAGCAGCAGAGUGCUAAUAUUGGAAAUAAGGGUCCAAGACUAUAGAAUUCACUGCCCCAGGAUGAUCCAGCCACUUUGAUCAUCAUCACACCCUGCUAUGACGUUUCAAAGAAUUUUGUAUCUUGAAUUCUUUUAAAAGGAAUCACUGUAAAUAAUUGUUGAAAACCAAAGACAACAACAAAAAGCAACCAGGCCUGAUGCAAGUAAAAGAGAAAAUUGCUACCAACGCAAGCUUUUGCAAUAGCAGAAUGUUCAGAUUUGACAGAAGAGGCAAACCUGCUCUAUAUUUAGAAAAAAUCCUUCUUUCUCAAUUUCUCAACCAUGUUAUCUUUAAAAUGAAAGGAAAGAAAAUAACAAUGAACCCAAUCCUUAGCAAAGCAAAAUGUCUGUUCCAGUACUUAUUUUUUAAGGAAACAACAGCAACAAGGAUUUGGUCUCCAAAGGAAAAUUGAAAUCUGAAACAUAUGGCCCUAAAUUAAUGAGUAGCAAUUCAUUCACCUCAGGAUCAAUGAAGCAGAAUAAUUUCUGGCCACUAAUAACAGCUUAAUAAAAUGAAUGGCUUCAGCCUUGUCAUGAAUUACUUUAAAGCAGGGGAUUGAGGAAUGGCAAUAUAAACAACCAUUGAUUCCCUCCCCUGCUUUAGAACAUACAGUAUCACAAAUAAAAUAUGACUCCAGUCCGUCUGUAAUUGAUACCAGGCACAGCUGCGCAUCACUGAGAGGACUGGUGUGAUGGGAAAGCAUAAUGGAACCUUUGCGAUUCUUGAGGAGAUUCAAGGAAUGAAAGAGGCACAGUGCAGAAAUGAUGAAGACUCAUAUAGCUGAUGCUUGGGAUCGUCCAAAUCUAACAUGAUCUCAUUAAUAACCCAUUAGCCCAGGCCAGCUAGUUCAGCUCCAUUAAUUGAAAUAAUGUGAUUAAUAGCAUUAAAGGAGACUGGGCAGACUUAGGGAUAUAAAUGGCAUCUGUACUGCCACUAGGGAUGAAAUUCUUAGCAGAUGUUUAACUGCGCAUGCAAACUGAUCCAAUAGGCAAAAUAACAGAAAGAAGGGGUUUGCUUUGCAUAAGCUGCAAUCCUGUGUGCGUUUACUUGGGAGUAAGCCCCAUUUGACACAAAGGGACUUACUUCUAGGGUUGUGGUUAUUUGUUGUUUAGAAAGGAAUCCAGUCAAAUUUGGUAGUGAGUAGGGUAGAAUAGCCACUUGUUUGCUCAUAUUUGGGAACAUAUGUCCAAAAACAGAAAACAUUUCAUGGACACGUUUGUUCAUUGUUUCGUUCCCUUUGUAGGGAGAUGGCAAAAAAGGCCAUGUUGCAAAAUCAGGAUUUUGCCAGGUGAUGAAGCCAACAGAGCACUACAUUGCUGCGCUCUCAGAAGUGGCCCACAUGCCACUCAAAUGCAGUUCCCAUAUUUGCAGGAGUGGGCGCCUUUGCCUCUAUCCACUGCUUGGGACACACUAAUCCAUUAUUGUCUUGCACAUUAGGGCUCAACAGUUUUAUACAGUGGCAAGUGGCCAGCAUCUUAAAACUGGCCACAAUCAUGUUAAGGGUGCAAUCCUAAGCACACUUGCUAGUGAGUAGCCCCAGUGGGUCUUAUGAGAAAACAACUAUAGGAACAUAGGAAGCUGCCUUAUGCCAAGUCAGACCAUUAGUCUACCUAGCUUGGUAUUGUCUACACUGGCUGGCAGCAGCUGUUACUGGUUCUCAGACAGGAUUCUUUUUUUUUAAAAAAAAGUAAUUUUUAUUAAAGUUUUAAACAACAAAGAAAUAAAAGAAAAACAUACACAUUACAUAUAACAAAAACACAAAAAACAAAAAAACAAAAGCAAAAUUCAACAAUAAAAAUACAAGAAACAUAACAAUUUAAAAACAAUAUCUCUGUUUCGUUUCCGUUUUUUAGUUGCUUAUUUUCUGGACUUCCUCAUACCUCCCUCUUUUGUAUUCCAAUCCAAAUUAUUUGUCCAGCAGUUUCUUUUCCACUUUUUUAAUCCCAAUCUUUAAUUUGAUAAGAUAUUAAAAUAUAUAGCUUCAACUUCUUUAAACCUAAUCCUUGGUCUUAAUAUCAUAUACCAUUAAAAUUUUCCCUCUUAAUAUCAAAUUUCCAUUUCUUUAAACAUCUUUAAUCUUAAUCUUUAAUCUUAGUCUAUCAUUAACUUUAACCUGUACAGCUGGAAACCUCUUGUUUUCAGUCCAACAUCACUCUAACAUUCCUUAAUUUUACAAUGUUUCUGAAGGUAGUCUUUGAAUUUCUUCCAAUCUUCCUCCAUCAACUCUUCUCCCUGGUCACGGAUUCUACCAGUCAUUUCCGCCAAUUCCAUAUAGUCCAUAAGUUUCAUCUGCCAUUCCUCCAGCGUGGGAAGUUCUUGUGUCUUCCAAUACUUUGCGAUGAGUAUUCUUGCUGCUGUUGUUGCAUACAUAAAGAAAGUUCUAUCCUUUUUUAACACCAUUUGGCCGACUAUGCCCAGGAGAAAGGCCUCUGGUUUCUUAGGGAAGGUAUACUUAAAUACCUUUUUUAAUUCAUUAUAUAUCAUUUCCCAGAAAGCCUUAAUCUUUGGGCACGUCCACCAAAGGUGAAAAAAUGUACCUUCAGUUUCUUUACAUUUCCAACAUUUGUUAUCGGGCAAGUGAUAGAUUUUCGCAAGCUUGACUGGGGUUAUGUACCACCUGUAUAUCAUUUUCAUGAUAUUCUCUCUUAAGGCAUUACAUGCCGUGAAUUUCAUACCUGUGGUCCAUAACUGUUCCCAGUCAGCAAACAUAAUGUUAUGUCCAACGUCCUGUGCCCAUUUAAUCAUAGCCGAUUUUACCGUUUCAUCCUGAGUAUUCCAUUUCAGCAGCAAGUUAUACAUUCUUGAUAAAUUCUUAGUCUUGGGUUCUAACAGUUCUGUUUCUAAUUUGGAUCUUUCCACCUGGAAGCCAAUUUUCCUGUCCAAUUUAAAUACCUCCAUUAUCUGAUAAUAAUGAAGCCAGUCUCGCACUUUGUUUUUUAGUUUUUCAAAACUCUGCAAUUUCAAUCUAUCUCCGUCUUGUUCCAAAAUUUCCCAAUAUUUCGGCCAUUUGACCUCUCAGACAGGAUUCUCUUCCAGUCCUACCUGGAGAUGUCAGGGAUUGAAUCUGGGACCAUCUAGUGGCUAAGAAGAUGCUCUUCUACUGAGCUAUGACUCUUCCCCAGGAUUGCACUGCAAGUCAAUCUUCCCAGCUGUUCUCUGAAGCAGAAGGAGCCUGUUAUGAACUGGCAGGACAAUGGGGAGGAGGAAGAGAAUCCUGGCAAGGGUUGUAGCCAGGACUGGGUCACACCAGGACAAGCUGGGGAUGGGGAAGGAGAGGUUGGUGUAGGAAGUACUCAUGGGCUGACGGAAAAUGACAAGGGGAUGGGGGUCAGUGCACAGGAACCAGAGCAGCAGGACCCAUAACCAGAGCCAGAGGGGCCCCUGUCUCCACAAACACGGCAGGUUUUGAGGUGUAGGGAGCAGUGGGAGUGGCACUCUAGGAAGCUGAGGCAGGCAAGGGCCCAUAACCCAGCUCCCUAGCUGGCCAGGUAGGGCUCGCUAGCUCUGGGAGGAGGUGGAGUAGGAUUGGAACAGGUGAGGGUCACAUGCCUCAUCAAGCCCAGAUGCUGCAAUCAGCAUCAGAGCUGAGGUGCUGUGUCUGCUCAACUGCCCAUGUUGAUGGACUGCAGCUUGGAUGCUCCAGGAUCUCUGAGGGGCUUUGGACGCUCAACAUGUGGAUUGAGCCAGGACUGGAGACUUGGCGUACUGACUUGCUGCAAGGUAGGUCAGGGGUUCAGGACAUAGCUUUGGGUCUAAGUAAAAGUAACCAUUGUAUAGAGGCAAUUUGUCUUCAGUUGGGAACUAUUGCACACUUUUUCUCUUUCUCUGUGCGCAUGUGUUGUCUGUGCAGUAGUAUAGGUGUAUUAUCCCCAUUUCCCCAGUUUGUCUGAACUUAACCAAGGCCACCCACCUUUGGAGGUAUGUCACAGGAAAACGGUGCUUUAUUACUUAAAAUAAACAUACAGUGGUAUCUCGGGUUACAUAUGCUUCAGGUCACAUACGCUUCAGGUUACACACUCCGCUAACCCAGAAAUCGUGCUUCAGGUUAAGAACUUUGCUUCAGGAUAAGAACAGAAAUCAGGCUCCAACGGCAUGGCCCCAUUAGCUAAAGUGGUGCUUCAGGCUAAGAACAGUUUCAGGUUAAGAACUGACCUCCGAAACGAAUGAAGUACUUAACCCAAGGUACCACUGUAAUAGCUGCUAUUCAUUGUGCAGUUAGACACACUUAAUUUAUGGUGAUGCUUUUUGGGGGUCUUGAGCACGUGCAAUUCUUAUUUCCAAGGUCUAAAGCUUCUGAAUUCUGGGGUUUAAAAUAAUGUCACAUUUUGCAUUCAUUCCAUUUCUUCUCUCCUCUGACUGGUGCAGAAAAAUACGCUGAUGUGUCUUAUUAUUAGUUCAAAUAAAUGUGUUACGUUUGCUUUCUACCUUUCUUUUCUCUCCACCUUAUCCAGUUGGACUAGGGACCCUUUGUUUGUCUAGAACAGUUCCCAAAUCCCACCAAUCUGUUCUCCUAUUUGCAAUCAAUACAACGAACUUGUGGAGGUGGGGUGUGUAUGUGCUAAUGAAGGCACAUCUGUUUUCCCAUAGUGACUGAAACAAAUUACAGGCUGCAUGCAACAUGGGAGGUCAGCUUUUAUGGACUGUUUACUUUCCAUCUUCUUGGCUUGCUCUCAAUCCAUGCUCCUAAUCAGAACGCAAACACUGGCGUCUCCUUGUUAGCAAAGCGCAGAUUUCCACAGUAGGCCAACAGGCAAACACUCCUUGUUUGUUUCUAUUUUCCCCUUCAUUUGGAAGUUAAUUGCUUCUUCUAUAAAUAUUUUUCAUCUUUUGCAUUGAUGUUUGCAAAAGCGAAUUUGGUGGCAACAUUAUUUCUGCCAUCCCCUUUCCUUAUUUUCACUUUGUUUUAAUAUGGUGCUCUUGACUCCUGCAGGAUUGCUUAGUAUGUAUGGGCAGCCACUUUCACCAGAUGUAUUUUGGGGUCAGCGGUUGAAACAAAUGGUCGUGCCCUUUGGUAAUUUGUUGGAAUUAAUAUUACAUUUGGCCUCUUGCAGUAUUUUAUUUUUUAAUGUGGGGUUUUAGAUUCCUAUAAAACUACUGACUCUUGGCUGCAGCGAAGACUGCCUUAGCCUUUUGAGGGUGGUCCAUUGGGGGAAGUGGGGCACUGUCCCACCAGCUCCAGCCUGCCCUCAGCCAGGCCCCACUUGCCUGUCCUCUUACUUACAAUCAGUUUACGGGGUGGAACUGCCUAUCAGCUUCUUCCUCCUUGGCCUCAGUGGGCUCAUCUAUACUUCCAUUAGUCCUAUAGUUUCUUCUGUUUGUCCCACCAUUUCUGGGCACAGGUCUGAGAGGGUUUUCUUUCAUCCCACCACUUUCCUCGGGAAAACCUACUGUUUAUUGCUGAAAUAAAUCAGCAAAGUAACCGAACUGAUGUUUGUUGCGAUUCAAUGGUUUUUCCCAGGGAAAGUGUCUGGACAAAUGGACUGUGGAUGAGACCAGUGUUGCUCAUGUAGAACUCAACAGGGAGAAGGAUGGGGAUAAAACUGGAAUUAGUUGGCUCUGCCUGUCAUUGGUUGUAGCUCCACCUGCUGUGGGUCUCCCUAAAUUCUGCCCUACCAGUCCCAGUGGGCACCACCCACCAUUGUUUCUUAGCUAUACACUGGAAUGCUGUUUCUAUUCUGUCUGUUAAGGAAUAGCUGAAUAAGGCAUUGGAGAUGGCCGAGAUUGACAAACUGAUUGACAGCAUAUACAGAGAAGUAAUGGAGUUACGACAUCAAUUUCUGUGUUGCAAAAAUGGUUUCCUUUUAUAAUAAAGUUGCAAUGCAGGCUCAUUAGAUAGACUUUUGUUUCUGUAACAUUUUGGCCAGUUUAAUAAAUGUUUAAAAGAAAGAAUUCCAGUGCUUAGGUCUUAAUCCCUGUGUUGUUGUUUAGUUGUUUAGUCGUGUCCGACUCUUCGUGACCCCGUGGUCAGAGCACACCAGGCACUCCUGUCUUCCACUGCCUCCCGCAGUUUGGUCAAACUCAUGUUGGUAGCUUCGAGAACACUGUCCAACCAUCUCGUCCUCUGUCGUCCCCUUCUCCUUGUGCCUUCAAUCUUUCCCAACAUCAGGGUCUUUUCCAGGGAGUCUUCUCUUCUCAUGAGGUGGCCAAAGUAUUGGAGCCUCAGCUUCACGAUCCCUGUAGUCAGUGCUAUUUUCCUAAAAAAAGAGCUGCCGGAACUCGCCAUGAACACCUCCCUCAUUCUCUUAGAAUACCAAUGGCGCCCACUUGAGAGGUGCCAGAACCGAGUUCCCUCAAGUACCUGCUGACAAAAAGACCUGCCUGUAAACUGACUGUAUAUUUAGAUCUAGAUUGUUUGGCAUCCUGAUCUAAAGGUUAUUUUGGCAUCCAACAUAAGGUUACCAGACGUCCCCAUUUCCCGGGGACAGUCCCCGUAUUUACAUAUCAGUCCCCAUACAAAAUCCAUUGAAGUUGAAAAGUGUCCCCGGAUUCAUUGAAAAAAAUCUGGUAACCUUAGUCCAACAGCAUCUAGAGGAUCAUAGGUUUCUGACUCCUGCUAUAGGCCUUAAAAAAGAGAGUCCUUAGUUUAGCUGCUAAUAGCAGUUAAAAGGAUCAAGUAGCAGUUUAUGAAAACACCUCUGCCUAAGGCUUUGGAAAGCUGCUGAAGUAUGCAAUCCAGAUAAAGAGAAAAGACACACUAUUCUAAUCCAGCUGCCUUGAAUCACCAGUUUUCAGUUCUGGAUGGAGUUGCCCCAUCCGACAGCUUCCAUGGCACUCCAAGCACCACAGAAAACCCUUCAGUGUUCAUCAUGAACAAAGUCAUAAUGAUUUUCUUUUAUCACCCUCAACAAAAAAAGAGGAAAAAAAGAAGGGGCUUAGCCAAUGUUUUAUUGAAUAGCUAGGAGGAUUGCAAACUGCUGCCCUUGCCUUCUCAAUCAUUUCAUGCAUUUCAAUAUUCCUGCUUGAAAAACGAGUCAUCUUCCUCAGCCAGUUUCCCUCUGACCCUUCUGCUGUUUUUGUAGUUCCACCCCACUAUCUCUGAUUUGCUCAGCGCAGUUACUCAAGCUAACGUUACCUCCACCAGGAUUUGCAGAAAUGCACAGCCAUUUGUUUCCUGGACCGCAUUCAAAACUAUGACUUUGACGGUCUCUCAAGACUGAACUUCUUUUCCUAAUGAAAUCAAAUAGGGUCAUGAAACUGACAUUUGAAACUUUUGCACAGGCUCUUCUGUUGUUAUCAAACAUGGGGUGGGAGAAGCUUUUUCAACCCAAGGGCCAUGUUUCCUUCUGGAUAUUCUUCCAGGGGCCAAAUGCUAGUGAUGGGCAGAACCAGAGGCAAAAGUGGACAGGGCAACAAAUGUGAAAUUCACCUUCGGUACUGUAGGUUGCCUUCUAUGUGCAUGUGCAGACCUCCAUCCAUUUAUCCUCCAUCUGGGCAAACAAGAAGCGCUGUCAGAGUUCAUCGGCACAGUCAAGCCAAGUGAAAACACUCAACUGGUUGGCAGGGUACAAAGUAGGGCUGGUAAUGUGUGUGGCCUGGAGGGAGAGGAUGUGGCUGGGGACGAGUGUGGGGGAAAAUCCCAAGGGCCAGAUAGACCUGGAGAGCCACAUUUGGCACCCAUCCCUGAGGUUCUCUAUCUCUGUCUGACAGCAACAUUUCAGAGGUAUGUUGUCUCUGAGAUACCGAAUCUGUUCAUGUGGAGGGAUAGAUGCUGAAGGGGCCCAGUGUGCAUACCUUGGUAGCAGUGAAGACAGUAGGUGUGUGCUGUGCCUGAACAGGUGCUAUAUCUAGAGAAUGCCUGCCACACAAACCAAUGGCACCAUAUACUGUAUUCUCCAGGUACAGCAGCUACACUGGGCUGCCCCGGUUCACUCCUUGCCUCCACUCAAUAAUGCCUUCUGGUUAAUGUGCCUUGCAGCUUGCCUCAAACAGCUCCUGUCAGAGAGACCAAGCGAGAAAGCAUCAUUGCCUCGUAGAGGCAUCCAGAUGUGCGAGAGUGGAGCACAUUUCCCAUGGAUUUACUCAGCAUUACUCGAGGCCCAGUUUUCAGAAAACCACUGUGAGAGGGAAAUCUUCGUAAAGGCAUCAGGGCUUUGAGAUAGCUUCGUAUGGUUUCCGAGUAGCAGCCCUCCAUGGAAUGCAGUUCUAAAUGGGCACUUUGCAGGGAGAGGGGAGAAAUUGAGUUCCCUUUUCAUAUCAAAGGCAGUAAUGGUUUGCGUUAUCAUUUAAUUACUGAAACUGUAAAUGUAAAUGGACUCCAAUUUUUAGUUCUAGUCAAUUUAAAUUGCCUACUUACACUGCUUAAUCCUCUGCUUUGAGAAGAUAUUGUAUCGGUCUAAAGCAUAUUUAGGGGCUAUAAUAUUAGUUAGCUUUUGAUCAUAUUUUAAAUGGCAUAAUCAACUGAUAGCCAUGUUGCACUGCAUAGCAUUGGGAAAUCAAUUAGGCAGAAGAGUGCAAUGUAUUAUUGACCCCUUUUCUCCAUUCAGGAAUACCUGCACCAUGUUACUAAAAUGUGUGAGCUCACACUAGUACAAUUUCUUUCUUUCUUUCUUUCUUUCUUUCUUUCUUUCUUUCUUUCUUUCUUUCUUUCUUAAGCUCCAUCUCAAAAUUACUCCAGACUAAUUAUAUUGGUUCAGACCAAUAACCUAACUAGCUCAGUCAUUUCUCUCCAUGUUCAACAGGCAUAGCUUUAGGCCCUCCCUAAGCAUGUCUCCCUACUCCUCUUCCAAUGACUUUGCCUAAUGACUAGUGGAUCACAUUGGCUUCCAUGAACCAAUGAAUUUGCUCCAUGGAUAUAAUCAGCAGCACCCUCUGUUUGGUGUGUGGUAUGGAUGCAGGGGUGGCCUAAUGGUUAGGCAGCAUAUGUCAGCUGCCUCAGGCAGUGGAUGCUGGGAGGGGGGGGGGAGCACUGCUGCCAGGCUGCCAUGCAGGCUGCCCUUUGUUCUUCAAGGAAACUUGCUGCACUCAGGUAGGGGUGGGCAAACCUCUCUGUUAGGGUUUCUCUCAGAUUCUCUUUUUCUUCAUUCUUAAGUUCAGUUCUCCAUAUCAGUUUCCAAUUUUAAAAACCUAAUUAAAAUUUGCCAGCAUUUUCGUGCCAAUUUCUUCUUAUGCACAUGCUUGCAUGAAAUAUUGCCCUAUAUACAGUGGUACCUCGGGUUACAUACGCUUCAGGUUACAUACACUUCAGGUUACAGACUCUGCUAACCCAGAAAUAGUGCUUCAGGUUAAGAACUUUGCUUCAGGGUGAGAACAGAAAUCGUGCUCUGGUGACGCGGCAGCAGCAGGAGGCCCCAUUAGCUAAAGUGGUGCUUCAGGUUAAGAACAGUUUCAGGUUAAGAACAGACCUCUGGAACGAAUUAAGUACUUAACCCAAGGUACCACUGUACACUUUUUUGGCAAAGCAAUUUUCUGCCAAUGCAUUAGUUAAUUCCCCACCCCUCUCUCUCUUUUUACACACACACACACACACACACACACACACACACACUUUAUCCUAGUAUAUGCAUUUUGCGCAUAUUACAUGGCUGGAGAACUACACUGAAAAAGUCAAGGACAUGAGAAUUUCAAAGGAUGGUUGUGUUUCAGUUUGCAAGUAGUUUCAGAAAGUGCAAUUUAGGUAGGUUUGCCUUUAAAGGUGAACUGAGUCAAAUUCUUUCCCUCCCCCUCCUGCUCAGGUGUGAUGGAAGAAGGUGCUCCCUGGCCAGAGUUGAAGUCAGGUAUUCAGCUGCCAGUCUCUUCAUGCAACGGAAGUGAGGUGCCAUCUUGUCCUUAACCUCAGGCUGCAAAAUGACUUGAGCUGACCCUGCUCAGAUCAGGAGGUUUUGCUCCGUUCCUCAGUACAAUGUACCAAAAAUGAACCUCAGUAUAGAUUGUCUGUUCACCCUUUGAAACAUAUGUUGUGCCCAACGGCAGCAAUUGCAUGCAGUUGGAAGAGUCUUCCCCAUCCGCUCCGAUGUCUUGCUGUGGGCCAUAAAUACACUAGGAACUGUUAAAAGCAGACUUGAUCAAUGACUGCCGAGUCCCUCUGGUUGCUGAGCUCUUCCGACAAAUCACAGAGGAUCUUUGUGGACAAUUCUUCUUUUCUGGCAAAUGGCAGGUUCCUAAAGUGGUUUUCUCAUCACUGUCUUUUUACUCAGCCUCUUGUCUCCCCUAAAGCAAAUAGCCACAGAGUGCCAGCGUCUAGAAACUUGCCCAAGUAAUAAGUCAGGAGGACAUGAAUUAUGGGCUUUCGGAGCAAAGAGACCAGCAGAUAAAUGGCUCCAGUGACAUACCUGUCUGCCCUCUUGAUUAAUUUGUUCUUAAUAUUACUAAUUUUCUUCAAGCUUAAGCAGGCUUCCUGACUGUUAAUAUCACCAGUGGUACCAAUAGGUAUAAUUCUCCGCUCUGACUGGAAACUGUCAUAGCCGUCACAAAGGAAAGGGAAGUACAAUGUGCCAGGAGGGAAUGCUGGAAUAGGAUAUGCCAGCUUUCCUACUGCCCACCUCACCUUGGUGGAAGUUUUCCUUCCAGGGCUGGAUUAAGACCUUUAGAGGCCCUAUGCACUGAAAAGAUUAUGGUGUGUUGUCUCUUCGUGAAGACCCAGGUCACCGAGCCUGAGCUUCCACAGCUGCCAGCCACCAUGAGCUGGAGAGGAAAUGCCUCCCUGUCUCUUACUGUGGCAUUAACAUAUAACCAGAGCACAUGAAGGUGGUAACUAUCUGCUGAGUUCCCAUCUCCCUUACCCUCCAGCCCAGAAGCUACAGUGUGUGGACAGUUAGCAAAUGUUCACUCUGUACGGUAUUCUCGUUUUGUUUGUGAUCACCAGUUUGUUUGUUUUUAAACUUUUAUUGAUAAAUGCAAUACAGUGGUACCUCGGGUUACAUACGCUUCAGGUUACAUACUCCACUAACCCAGAAAUAGUGCUUCAGGUUAAGAACUUUGCUUCAGGAUGAGAAUAGAAAUCGUGCUCCGGCGGCGCGGCAGCAGCAGGAGGCCCCAUUAGCUAAAAUGGUGCUUCAGGUUAAGAACAGUUUCAGGUUAAGAACAGACCUCCGGAACGAAUUAAGUACUUAACCUGAGGUACCACUGUACUUACAAACACAAACCAGAACACUAAACAAACUUAUUAUACAUAGAUACAUACACCUCUCAACUUAGAUUACAAAAAAAGAAAACAAACAUAUAAAGUAAACAUAAAUUUUGACUUCCCACCACCUAUAUGUGGCUUCCUUUGUUUCUUUUCUUCUUUUCGCUGUGUUAUCAGUAUCAUUUUUGACUAUCUCAUCUUAUACCCAUUUCUUCUUAAUUUUUUACUCUAUAAGUUUCAUUCAUUGCAUAUUGAUAUAUUAAUACCAGAACAAUGUUUUUUGAUGUAUUCCUUCACGCAAGUCCACUCCUCUAUCAGUUUUGGGUCUGAUUGGCCUCUUACCACUGCUGUAAGUCUUGCUGAUUCUAUAUAUUCACAAAAUUUUAUUUGCCAUUCUCUUAUUGAGGGAGUUUUUUCUCCCUUCCAAUUUUUUGCUAUAAUCAUUUUGGUCGCAGCGGCUGCAUAUAAGAAAACUUUUUCCCUAGCGGCAGGAAUGCCAGUUGAUAUAAUUCCCAAGAGGUACGCCUCUGUUUUUUUUUUUUUUAACAUGAUAUUUUAAGCAUUUUUUUUAAGUUCCUCUUGAAUGUGUGAUCACCAGUUUCGACAUAUGUUUGAAGGAAAUGAAUAAGUGAUGUGACUGCAAGGAAGUCCAGGAUAAAUUUACAACAGCUUUAGCAUCAGAAAAACCUGGUGUUUAGUGCAGUCUACAAAGGAGAGCUGGGAGGAGCGUUUUGGAACUAGAGUGCCUUGUGCAGAAAAGAGUUCAAGCUUCAAGUCCACAUCUGUACAUUAUCUUUCCUACCGUCCCAAUUUGUCCUAACAUUUCCCCUUGAGCAAAUGAUAGGCAAUAAGCGGACACCCUCCUAUUUAAUCAUGAGUGCUUACAUCCUGCGGGUAUCUUUAUGGCCACUGUCUUAAUCUAAAAUGGGUUUUAGGUGGUGAGUUGGCAAAGCAUACGAUACAGAGAACAAAAGCUGAGCAGUAACGGAAAGAUUUUAUCUGCAGAAGUACCUUUGUCAUAAAGCUCCAUAAAAUAAAUUUUUUUUUCAAUGGAUCCCUGGGGGCUUACAGAAUAAAUAUCCAGGGAUUCACAUAGUGGUGAAAGUCGAUAAAAUGUUUGAGGCCAAUGAACUAUGGAGAAGUUAUGGAUGGCAAUGCACGGAUGGAGACUUCUACAAAUCUCUCUGUGGAGGGAUGCUGACAAAAUGAAGAUGCAGCACAUGUAGUAGUAGGGGUAUUUUUGUCCCUGUGAUGGCUGCGUUGCCUGUUUUUUAAAGUGAUAUUUUGCCAUACUCUGUGUGUGGUGGGGGGGAGGGGGAAUCACCUCAAGGGUGUUCUAUAGAAAAGACUAAGUAAAUUCCUCAGUGCUGCUCAUACUAUCAGAUGAUAGACCCAUCACAAUUAUCUCUUGAAUCAGUGUUAAAAGCAGUAUGAAUGUGAGAGUUGACUAUGGGGGCUCCUCCAGACCUUUUUAUUGGUUGGCUUGCACAAGUCUUUUGAGGAGUUUAAACUAUGUCUGGUCUUGAGGAUUCAUUGUGAUUUAUUUGCAGGAGGAGAUUAUACAACAAUGAGCAAUCAACCAGAUUUGCUUGUGGGGUUUUUAUACAUCCCAUCAUUUGUUUGUUCUACACUCUUUGGGGUGCGGGUGGUGCUGUGGGUAAAACCUCAGUGCCUAGGACUUGCUGAUCGUAUGGUCGGUGGUUCGAAUCCCCACAGCGGGGUGAGCUUGCUGAGAUAAGAUGGCACCCGGCACACUUCCCCUGGGCCGAUGGACGCCUGUGCCGAUAGAAAAAGCUUGAGCUCUCUUUGCAGCUCUUAGCAGAGUCCUGCAGAGGCAGAAAAUGUUGCCUUGUGUGUGGAUAAUAAAUCAGACUGAACGCAGGCUUCUUGCUAAUCUCUAACAGCCUUUAAUGAGUAGAAAAACAUCAUAAAUCAGUCCCGGCGAGAGAGCAGGCAUCCUUUCGUCUCUCAGCCAAAAACGAAAGUAACUCACACACAAAGAAAGAUUCCCGUAUGUGAACCAAACCACGCCUCAGAAUGUGAGAUGUCACACAGAACUGUUUAACCCUGUAAGUUCUGAUUCUCCUCACACCCCCUCUCGUCUCGCAUCCUGAGGGAAAACUGUGAGUACAACUCACCCCAAACACAACCCUUCACAGAACUCCCCAUGUUGCUGGAAGGUCAAGGGUUUAGUAAACCCAUCAGCUAGGUUCUCCCGGCUCGUACAAUACUUGAGCUGUAUCCAACCUGCCUGGACACUCUGACAUACAUUCUGGAAACGUAGGUCCAAAUGCUUGGUUCUGGACUUGAACUGUCCAGAUUCUGCCAACCUAAGACAAGGUUGAUUGUCUCCUCAAACAGUUAUGGGCAAGCAACAAUCCCCACAGAUCUCUUGGAUCAAGCACUGGUAGAAGUCCAACUCCCUGCACAAAUCCGACAACGCACUGAACUCAGCCUCAGUGGAAGAAAGUGCAAUAAGACUUUGCUUCCGGGACUUCCACCCAACCAGGGAUUCCCCGAACUUUACCACCAGCCCAGACACAGACUUCCUGUCCCCAAGAGAUGCCCAAUCGCUGUCACUCCAGCACGUAAGCCGUGUGUCACCUUCAGCUGACAACGUGAGGCAAGACUCUUUGGUAUCCUGCAAAUACCUCAACACUCUCUUGAUGCCUUGCCAGGCAUUCACACUGGGCUUUGUAGCCUCCCUGCUGAGCAGAUUCACAGCAAACGCUAUGUCUGGUCUGCUCCACUGAGAGAGAUACAACAGACUCCCUAGCGCUGACUGAAACACCUCAGGGUUUUGGAACUCAGAACGCUCCCCAAGCUGACUGUCCUUCACGAAGUUGGUCUCCAUGGGCGUUCAGACCCCUGCACAGUCAGCCAUCCAGAACUUCUCAAGCAACUGCUCAAUCUUGCCUUUCUGACUGAGCAAGAAACUCCUGUUCUCAGACCUGUCUAUCCUAAUGCCUAGAUAAACCUGAACGGGACCAAGAUUUUUGACCUUAAACUUCUUACCAAGCUCUUUGGCAAAACCUUGCACCUGUCUACCUGUCUGUGCCACGUACAGAAUAUCAUCUACGAACACCAGAAUUGCUUCCUGUGUCUCUCCUGACCCCUUCAGGUACAGGCAACUGUCUGCAAGACUCUUCUGGAAACCUAAGCUUUCCAGAGCUUCAUUCAGGCACAUGUUCCAAUUUCUGGCUGACUGUUUCAAACCAUAAAUUGACUUGUGUAGCUUCCAAACAACACCUGGCUCAUUGCCCUCAAACCCUGGAGGAGGUAGCAUGUACAGAUCCUCCUUCAGAUCCGAGUUCAAAUAAGCCACAUCCACAUCAAAGUGGUGCACUUGGUGCCCUCUUUGAGCAGCUACUGUUAAAAGCACGCGCAGAGUCUCAUUCCGGGACGUAGGAGCAUACACUUCGGUGUAAUGCAGCCCCCUUCUCUGCGUGAACCCUCUGGCUACAAGCCUCACCUUGUAUUUGUUGAUUUAAGCAGAGUCUCGUUGCCAGCGGAAGGAUGAGGAAAAUGUGUUACAUACUCUAUAUUGCUUUAUUUACAGUUCAAAGCUGGUAUAUUACAGAAAGACAUCUUGCCUCUGCAAGAGCAGAAAAAUGCAUCCUCUCUCCUCCACAGCUUGGAGAGAAUCACACAGUGAAAAACAAACAGGAAACCAGUGUACGUCACAUCCAGUCUCCCUUUCCCGUGAGAAACUCCAACAGUACAGACUGUGGAAUGUAAACACCUGUCUCAUGACAAGCAGAGCUGCACAGUGAAGGAAAGCAGAAACCAACAUCCUCCCCCUUUCUGUGAACAUCACUGGGCAGCGUGUUGGCACAAUAUCAGUACAAACCCAACUUCUGCACAUAGGUACAGUGUUGAUCCCUUGAUACAAUCUUGGACAAUACAUCAGCAGGAAUUUCAUUACCUGGCAUAUAGGACACCGUUACGAGUCCCUUCUGAAUACAUUCCCUAGCAUGCUGCAACUUUAAUUGCAAGUGCUUUGUGCUUUAGCUUACAACCUUCAGACUUCAGCAAAGCCAAACAUGCUUUGUUGUCCUGGUAAACCUGGAUUGGACAUUUGACAGGAAUUUUCAUAUCUUUGCACAAUUGUACUAACCAUUCACAAUCCUUAAGUGAAUAAGACAGUGCAUUCAGUUCAGCUUCACAAGUACUUAAGCUAACUGUUGUUUGCUUCUUGCAUGACCAAUCUAAAAGACUCUGAUUGUAUAUGUAGCAAACUCCAGACGUACUUUUCCUGUCUGUAGCGUCACUUCCAAAACUUGCAUCUGCAAAUAUCUCAAGACCACCAGACUUCUGAUUGUUAAAUCUCAGUCUGUAAUGCAUAGUGCCUUUCAAAUACCGCGCUAUGCGUUUCAGAGCUUUCCAAUCCUUGACACUAGGAUUGUUGACUUGUCUGCUUAGCAAAUUACAGCUAACAGCAAUGUCUGGUCUUGAACAUCUGGCAAUGAAGUUUAGCUUGCCUAGCACACUCCUGUACAGUGUAGUGUCAGAAAAUGCUUCUUCAGUGUCAUCUACCUGAUAACCUGUUGUCAUCGGUGUGUCUACAGGGUUAGCAUCCAUCAGAUUUAGUUUGCUUAACACAUCAGCAAUUUUCCGUGACUGGUGUACUAGAAUGUUACCAUCUUGAUCUCUCUCUAUUUCCAGAGAUAGGUAGUUGUUUACCUCACCAAGAUCUUUCAUGUCAAAGUGCUCUUUCAGUUGAGCUAGGGCGUUAUUGUACAUUGCGACAUCUUUCCAAAAGAAUAAUAAAUCAUCAACAUAAAACAAACAGUACAGUUUCUUUUGCCCCUCCUCUUUGACAAAUACACAUGGAUCAGCUUUCCCUUGCUGAAAACCUAGAGAAAACAAUACUUCAGUGAGUUUUGUGUGCCAACACCGUGCACUUUGUUUGAGACCAUAAAGGGAUUUCUUCAGAGCACAAACAAAUCCCUGUUUUACCUGUACGCCAUCAGGUGGAAGCAUAUAAAGUGAUUCAUCUAGAGAUCCGUACAGAAAAGCUGUAUUAAUAUCAUGGUGACUAACGUGUAGAUUUUCCUCUGCAGCUAGCUUGAGCAUAAGCCUAAUGCUUUCAUAUCUCACUGUGGGUGAAUAGGUCUCGUGAUAGUCUUCACCUGGUACCUGUGCAAAACCUCUGGCUACCAAUCUGGCUUUGUGUCUGACUAUCUUGCCAUUUUGAUCUGUCUUCGCUUUGAAGACCCAUUUGCUUCCAAGCAGUUUCAUUCCUGGAACUACUGGAACUAGCUCCCAUGUUUUGUUCCUUUCUAAGGAAUCAAGCUCAGCCUUCAUGGCAUUUAACCAUGGCUCAGCUUCCUUGAAUCCAAACCCUGGAUUUCUUGGAAACUUGAAGGUUCAAAUACCUUCUUGGAGCUUUUAACAGCUGUUACUGCUAUCUUAGCAAACUCAUCAGCAAAUCUCUUUGGAGGUUUGCCUUUUGUGGCUCUCUGUGACCUACGAAUUAGCCUUAAGUCUUCAACACUCUCCUCUUCCUUCUUAGGAGAAAAACGACCUAUUGUGAACAAUGGUUCCUCCAAUUCUUGAUCAGAGCUUUCAGAGGGUCGCAUAGAGGCUUUCGCACUCUUGAAAUCCUCUGAAUCACCCGAUUCAGUUUCAGAUUCAGACUCAGAACCUUCAUCAGUGGGUGUGGGCUGUUGUGGUUGCUUUUGACUAUCCUCAGUCUCAUCACCGUCAUCAGGAUAACAUUGGAAAAUUCCCACAUUCUCCCCCACUUUGCAUUGUACUCAACACUUCUCGUGAGCUUAAUUGUCUUAGAGUCAGUCAUCAUUAUUCUGUAAGACCCUUUCUGAUAACCUAGAAAGAUACCAUGCAAUCCACGCUUGUCUAACUUGGAGUUUUGUGGUGAGCGAACCCACAUGUCAGAACCAAAAAUCUUCAUGUGUUUGAUGUAUGGCUUCUUGCCAAACAUCUUCUCAUAGGGGGUACAACCGAUCGCUGAAGAUAGCCUGCGAUUGUAACUGUAAACAAAACACGAGAGAGAUUCGGCCCAAUAACUCUCUGGAAGAUUGGCAUCAUGCAGCAAGGUUUUUAACCCUUGAAGCAAAGUCUGAUUUGCCCGUUCCGCAAGUCCAUUCUGCCAUGGCGAGCGAGGACUAGACAAAUCGUGUUGAAUUCCUUUCUCAGUCAGAAAAGCUUCAAACUGCUGAGAAGUGAAUUCCCCGCGAUCACUGAAAAGAGUCUUUAUCUUCUUACCAUGCACAUUUUCCAACCAAGCACAGAAUUCCUUGAACCUAGGAAAAGCCUCCGAUUUCUGCUUGAGAUUGUACACAAAAAUAUAUCUAGAAAAUGCAUCAAUGAGAACCAUGAAGUAUCUAUUUCCACCCAAAGAGGGCGGUAGUGGUCCAACCAAAUCAGCAUGAACAACCUGGUAUGGUUCUGUAGCUAUCCUACUAGACACCUUACCUUUCGCAGCCAUUUUCACCUUGUUUGCUGCGCAUGCUUUGCACUUCAUGUGGUACCUGCAGGGUUUAAUAGUCAUACCUUCAACCAAGGCAGGCAUUUUAGAUACUGCCUCAAAAUGCAAAUGACCAAAUUUACGAUGAAAAUCGUGAAUACAUUCUGCAUGCAAACUUUUGUUAGAACCUGCAAUGCAACAAGUGUCAUCCUGCACCACAUCAUCAUAAUACAAAACAAACAAAUGAUCAACAUAUUCUGCAUGCAAUACAUAAUCAUUUUUCUUUGUGAUGAUGCACUUCUUGUUCUUGAAGGAAACGUCAAUGUUCCGCUCAUUCAGCUGUCCAACGCUGAGCAGAUUAUGUUUGGCGUCUGGCACGUAAAGCACAUUCUGUAUCGAUAAGUCCAAACUGUGAAGAACAACAGUUCCGUAGCCUUUACUGGGAAUAGUGUGGUCAUCCGCCUGGUGAAUCGCACCUUCCUGCGGUGUAAAAGACACAAACAGUUUCUUAUCGUUGCACAUGUGGUGGGUGGCCGCUGAAUCAACAACGAAGAAAGAUCUAGACGUCUUCUGGACCUCUGCAACCUUUGGAGUGAAGCGUGAAACCAUAGCCUUGUGCUGCGUUGUCCUAGACACCGGACCUUUGCCUUUGCCUCGGCCUUUUCCGCGCGAUGAGCUUUCGCUGCGCUGCUCUGUCUUGGCCCUGGGAUGUCUGCAUUCCCUCUUCAUAUGGCCUAGACGUCCACACGCGUAGCAUUUUACUGCCUUCAAAGCUUUGGCGCCAUCUGGUGGUUCCACUGCACUAUGGGAUGACGUCUGUGAAGACUCUCCUUGCCCAUGCAGCUAGCACCCCGGCGAUCUGCUUCAUUUAAAAUCACGGCAGUAACAAAGUCCACUGUCAGCUGAGCAGUUGGUUGCACAGCAAUCUGGGUUGCAACAGACUCCCAACCUGAACCCAAAGAUUGUAGUAUCAUGAAAGAAUACACAGCCUCUGGAAAGUUGAGUCCUCUUUGUUGCAGCUCAUGUCUCAGAUUUUGCAUCUGCAUCAGAUGUAAACGCACAUCUCCACCUUCAGCAAGAGCCAUAUUAUGCAGCUUGUUAAAAUAAAACAUAGUGGAUCCAGCUUCUGUCCUUAAGUGAGCCUCUUUCAGAGCGUCCCAAAUUUCUCUGGCUGAGGUCUUAUCACGCACUAGACAGAGCUCUUCUGGGGAUACUAUCAAUGUAGGAGUUCCCUUGCUUUGGAAUCCUUAGCUUCCCAUGCAUCUGUAACUGGAACUGGGGGUUCCUGUAAUCACCUCAAACAAACCCUCUUUCCGCAGAAUUGCCUCUGCAUACUGAACCCAGUCGCUGUAAUUUUUCUUGUUGAGCUUAGGAAUCCUACAAGCAUCCUGAAGGGCCAUCAUGACUCUGGCAUUAGCCUUCAGCGUCAUAUGCUGCUUUAAAUCUUGCUGCGUCACUGCUGCAGCUGCUUCAUUACAAAGGCACACUUAAAAGUUACUUUCGAUUUCCCCAGCAUAGUGACUUGUGCCUGGCAGCCUUUUGCCUAUUAAAAGCUUUAAAAGUUCAAAGUCCAGCCAUAAAGCCAUUAACUUGAAGCUGGCAGGCUGCCCGGAGCAGUAGCACAUACCUCAUCAAUCACUUCUACGCGCAGAGCAGAUUCCUUUCCGAUCCGUCCCUCUGCAUUCCGAUCCUUUUUGCCGGCACUCCGAUUCGACCUCUGGAGUCCAUAACCACGUGUUGAUUUAAGCAGAGUCUCGUUGCCAGCGGAAGGAUGAGGAAAAUGUGUUACAUACUCUAUAUUGCUUUAUUUACAGUUCAAAGCUGGUAUAUUACAGAAAGACAUCUUGCCUCUGCAAGAGCAGAAAAAUGCAUCCUCUCUCCUCCACAGCUUGGAGAGAAUCACACAGUGAAAAAAAACAGGAAACCAGUGUACGUCACAUCCAGUCUCCCUUUCCCGUGAGAAACUCCAACAGUACAGACUGUGGAAUGUAAACACCUGUCUCAUGACAAGCAGAGCUGCACAGUGAAGGAAAGCAGAAACCAACAGUAUUGUGGUUCUCCAGACGCUGUGGGCUUAACCCUGUAAACCCAACGGCAGCUCACUGCCUGCUUGCCCUCUGGCAGCUCCAUGGUGGAGAACACACCUUUUUUUUUUUAUAAUUGAUAUUUAUUAAAUUUUCAAAGAAUAACAACAAAAAUUUCCAAAAAAAAAUUUGAGGAUACAAAAAACAAAAAUAGUACAUAAACAAAAAAGAAAAGAAAACCCAGCCGCAAAGAAAAAAAAAGAGAAACAGAAAAACAAAAAUAUAAAGUCCUUUACAAUCUCUAUUGACUUCCUUUCUAGACUUCCUCCUCCUCCCCUCUUUUGUUUCUUAAUUUUUAAUUUUUACAGCAAAUCCUUUCUGUUUUUCAUAACAAUCUGUCAUUACGUUUCCUUAUUCUAUUUUCCCUCUUGUCAUAUAAAAACUUUAAAACUCAUAGCUUAUAUUCAAUAUUUACCAAAUUCUUGCAUCAUUACCUUUUUACGAAUCAUUUACCAAUCCUUACUUAAGCCAUGUAAUUUCAUUCAACAUCCUUCAAACAUUUGUAAGCAUUCCCAAUAUUAAAAAAUAAAAAGAAAAAAUAAUAAGUCAAAUUCAGUCCAGUCAGCUUCCAACCUCCCCUCCCCUGGACCCGGGAUUGUCAGUCCUUUUAACCUCGAUAAUCCGGCUCCUUAACCUGGUUGUCUCGUAUCCGAGGCCCUCAAGUCUCUUUCUUGCCCCUUUCGCCACUCUUGUUGAUGAUUCCUUUCCAGUCGUGGAUGCUCCAGCAAGAAAAUGCUUUUGACCCUUUGCAGCAAGUCCAUCCCAAACCCAUUGCCCAAGCCAGACAGCAAAUAAUACCACUUCAAAUUUCCACAAAGCUUGGAGACUUCGGCUACUCCAAUCCUCUGAUAGCCCAUCACCAGACUCGGAAGGUCCAAAUAACCAUAUGGAGGGGGUCGAUCCAUCCCCCAUUUCCAAAUCUGACCACAUUUCAUCUUUCCGAAUCUGGUUUGUCCCAAGUUCAUUUAUCAAGUUCAAAGGCUGAUCUUGCCCGUCCAAAGGUCCCUCCAUCUCUGAAGCCUCCGUCACUACAGCAGGUUCAUAUGCUUGUAUAGCCUUUAACUGAAUUUCAUUUGUUUGCUGCUGUGCUCUGGUAACUUCCAUCAUCAAGGUCGUCUCCUGACGCAUCUGGUCCAGCUGGGCACUUAGUUUUGAAAAACCUUCCAGGAACAAUUGUUCAAGCCUUUGUACUAGCAUUGUCCUUCAAGGUCAAAGAAAAUUCUUUCCCACGACAAUAGUCCAAUAGUCCUUCUCUUUUAAUCUCUCUGCGUUGCAAUUUCACUAAAUUCCACUAGAUGGAAAUUUUUUUUUUUUAAAGGAAUAAAAGCAACAGCAACAAUCUUUCUUUUUCCAGAAACACUUUAUCCAAAAUUCCCCCUUCCAAAUUCAAGAGGCAACAGUAGAAUCAAAAUGUUACCCUUCUUUUAACUAACUGUCGAGCUGGAUAAACUUCAGAACGUCAAUUCUGACAGCCCGCUCCUGGUUCAGGGCGGUGGAAAAUUGCUUUAUUUUAAACUCACUUCCGCAGGAUUGAAAAGUCCAAAUACAACCCCCUUCUUCUCCUGCAGUCAAAGGGGGUUCAGAAAUCUUAGAUGUUGAAUUCUAGUUCUCUUAGAAUUUAAUUUUCAAGCUUUAGUAUAUUUUGUCUUUGCUUUCUUCACAUAACAAAAGAACGGAAGGCGACUUCCUGUUUAGACCUUCCCAUUCCGAGUCCCAAUUAAGUUCAAUUUCAAGUCCAAUAUUAUUUGUUUAUUCACCAGUCUUAAAAGUGGUUCAACUCUUCCAAGAUCAGGUACUCACGGAUAGAUAUUUUAGAUGCCAAAUUGUCCAGGAAAAAGGCAGCGCUCUCCGAUAACGGCAGUGCGGCUUUGCUGCACGGAGGAAGCAGUCGACUCACAGCACCACGCACCUCCCACUCCGGAGCCCGUUGCCGGGCUCCUGUACAAGGGGAGAGCGCUCUCGGUGCCCGCCGAGUCCCACGUCCACAGGCUUCUUCCGCCUGUGGUUUUUGCGGGUCCCCGCUGCGCCGUAGCGGCAGGACCCAAGCCUCCGUGCAGCGGGUUCCCUUCAGUCCGAAGGGAAUUCCGCCAUUUUCCGGAGGCGCCACCCCGGAAGUUCUUAGAACUUAGAACACACCUAAGGACCUCAUUGAGUUCAACUCCUUUCCCAUUGCCUCUUGCCACUUCCUGGCUUCUGCUUCAGGCAACUGUUGAACCUCCUCAAAACUCUCAGGUUCGCACUGCGCUAAACCAACCCACACGCUGGUGACCUCAAACCUCUCAGGUGGUACUCCCUUUGUAGUGCGUGUGGAACGUCUGAGCACUGUCUCAGGUGCUCCCUCUGACCCACUGGGGCCAGCAAGUGUGUCCUUGUUAUCAGAAGACUCCCCCUCUGACUUACUGCGUCUUCUGGCCUUCUGCACUUGACUAACGGGAGACGAAGGCUCACUUUUGGGCUCUCUUUUAACAACCUGUGGAGAUGCCCCUCCCGGUUCUUGACCCUGGUCAGAGACCUGAUUCUCAUCAACAGGUUCAGCUUCUAACUCUCCCUCCUCAGCAGAAUCAGACAGACUCUCUGAGAGAACGUCAGGAUUCGCAUGGAUCCUUGACCACCCACUCUGCUCACAGAACUCAGCACUUCUGCUGACUAGAAUCCUGGAUUGAUCGCCUUCUGGAUAGGCAAACCUCCACCCUUUUGUCCCUUGCUCGUACCCACAAAAGAUCAUUUUCCGGGACCUCGGGUCACCUUUCUUGCGUUGAGCCUUUGGCACAAGCACCCAAGCUUCGCAACCAAACACACGGAAGAAAUGCACCUUGGGCUUCUUGCCAUGCAGCAGAAAAUAGGGCGUGUCCCCUAUAACAGAGCUAUAGGACCUGUUCAACGUGAAGCUGGCAGCUUUCCAAGCUUCGGCCAAAAAGCGCUGAGGCAAACCAGCUUCAAACAGUAGAGCGUCAGCUGCCUCUGCUAGCGUUCUGUUCCGGCGCUCCGCUACGCCAUUCUCCUGAGGAGAAAAAACAACCGUCAACCUGUGAUUUAUUCCCUUCUGGCGGAAGAAACUCUGCAGAGCAGACCCAGUGAACUUUCCGCCUCGGUUGCUCUGAAAGCUCUGCACCUUGGUGGAAAACUGUAGUUCCACCGCCGCAACCCAGUCUUUGAUCAGUUGCGCCGCCUCGCUUUUCUGUUUCAGCGAGAAGAUCCAGCUGUUCCUCAAAAAAUCAUCUGUCAGCGUGAGCACAUACCUGGCUCCGCCCAGACUCGGCACUGGCAUGAGUCCACAAAGGUCUGUAUGCACUAGCUCAAAAGGCCUUGUGGUUACCCUCUCCGAUCUGGGAUAACUGCACCUUUUUAUCUUUGCCCUCUUGCAUGCCCUACAAUCCAAGAAUUUAUCACAUGCUUUCAUCUUGCAACCUUCAGUGCAUUCUGGCAACUUAUGGAUAUAUUUCCAACAGCUAUGUGACAUUGUCCUGUGCCACAAAUGAGCACACGAAUCAUGUGUGGGAACGUUAGCACACUGCGCCUGUGCUGUCUCAGCGUUCCCCUUACCCUCCAGAGGUGUCUCUGGCAUGCAAGAGGUUGUUCUGGCAUGCAACAUUGACCAGUUGUUUCCCACCCCUGGAAAUAGAACAGACAUCAUUUUCAAAGCAAACCUUAUAACCCUCCUUUACAAGAGCAGAUACAGAUAAAAGACAACACUUCAUUCCUGGCACAACGUAGACUUCCAGCUCUGCCUGUAAAAAAGAAACAAACACAUUGCCAACAGUGGUAAAUUGUCUCUGUGAGCCAUCAGCAAGAGUGACUGUUUUCCCAGUUGAAACAGCCCUGCAGUUCCACAUUUCGCCACAAGAUGGCAUCAGGUGAUUGCUGGCUCCUGAGUCGAUGACCCAACGCAGCAUGCUGCCCUCACUGGAGUUGUCCUUCAACGUUGCCAUGGGGGCAGCUAGGUGAUAAGAAGAACCAUCCUUCUCACUUCCUCUGUCACGUCCUCCCUUUGCAUUCCCAUGCUGGCCUCCUCUCCUAGACUGGCUGCCAUGGAAACCUGGCUGGCUGCCACGAGGACUUGGCUGACUGCCAUGGGAAGCGACCUUGGAGACAUCCUGCCCGGCCUCUCUGGCUUUCCUCGGACAGGACCGACGCAGGUGGUCAACAGACCCACAGACAAAACAACGACGAGUGGGAAAAGCCUGAUCUGUGCCUUCUGGCUCCCCCCCCCCCCGCUACCGACAGGGCACCCUGAGCCAGCUUGGCCCUCUCUGAGACGGCGUUCUUCCUCAUCACACAAACGACCAGUCACAUACUGGAGCGUAAGAUCCGCUGGAUUCAUAGAUUCCAAAGUUAGACACAAAUUGUCAUAACUUUUGUCCAGAGAGCUGAGCAAAAUAUAAACUUUCAAUUUCGCAGUAAAGUUGACUUGCAACAGUCUCAGCUUGUUGAAAACAGAGAGCAUCUUAGUCACAUGCUGUCUGAUGCUAUCACCAGGACGCAGCUUCAGCUCAAACAAGCUUCUGGUGGUGUGGAUCUUUGCCCCAGCUGUGGUCCUGUGGUGCACUCUCUCUAGUGCCAGGUAGACCUCCUGGACCCUCCACCAAAGGUAGCUGUGAGCCCUCCAAACUGAGCACUAUAGCCCCUAGGGCUUUCUGGGCUUUCCUCUGUGAGGCAUGGGCAGCUGCAACAACCGCUGCUGCAGCUCCAGCUGGAGCUUGCUGUGGGGGCCCUUGGGUCGCCUCCCACAGACCCUUGGCUACCAGCCAGGCCUUCAGCUUCCUAGACCACUCUUCCCAGUUGCUCCCAUUCAAUUUUUCAAAGGGGACUGAGUAUGACUCCUGUCCAUCUGCCAUCUUCUCCCCCGGGGCUGAGUCUACUCACGUAACCAGCAGCUCCUCUUGGCACCCGGUCCUGAAGAUAAGAUCCUCCCCAGCAAGCUUCGCUGCCUCAAACGUUAGGCAGGAGCUCCAGCUGGCUUCUCCCACACACACAGGAACGACGUGGCAACAGCUUCCAAAGCUUGGCUAGCUUCCAUAACCUGCUGAGAUAAGAUGGCGCCUGGCACACUUCCCCUGGGCCGAUGGACGCCUGUGCCGAUAGAAAAAGCUUGAGCUCUCUUUGCAGCUCUUAGCAGAGUCCCGCAGCGGCAGAAAAUGUUGCCUUGUGUGUGGAUAAUAAAUCAGACUGAACGCAGGCUUCUUGCUAAUCUCUAACAGCCUUUAAUGAGUAGAAAAACAUCAUAAAUCAGUCCCGGCAAGAGAGCAGGCAUCCUUUCGUCUCUCAGCCAAAAACGAAAGUAACUCACACACAAAGAAAGAUUCCCGUAUGUGAACCAAACCACGCCUCAGAAUGUGAGACGUCACACAGAACUGUUUAACCCUGUAAGUUCUGAUUCUCCUCACAGAGCUCCCGUCCUUCGGUCCCAGCUCCUGCCCACCUAGCAGUUCGAAAGCACCCCUAAGUGCAAGUAGAUAAAUAGGUACCGCUUUAUAGCGGGAAGGUAAACGGCGUUUCCGUGUGCGGCACUGGUGCUGCCUUGCCAGAGCAGCUUCGUCACGCUAGCCACGUGACCCGGAAGUGUCUUCGGACGGCGACAGCUCCCGGCCUCUUGAGUGAGAUGAGCGCACAACCCUAGAGUCGGUCACGACUGGCCCGUACGGGCAGGGGUACCUUUACCUUUACCUACACUCUUCAAUGCAUUUCCCCUUUACUUUCCUUACUGCUAAAAGACCGUGUGUGCAUGUGUUGUGUUGUGCCAGAGAAACAGAGCACUUCAAGUAAUUCUAUAUUUCCACUAUGUGUUUCAACGUCAAGAAACCUGUAGCAAUAAAUUGCCACUUUAACCAUAGCAAAACCAUGCCACAUAGAGGUGGGUGGAGCACAUAGUUCCUUAGAGGUGCCCAGUGGUAACAUGUAAGUGUGGCCAGAAAAUGUACAACUUGUGAGUGCUCAGUUGUGCAAAGAAUUCCACUAUAGGUAAUGCCAGCUUCCAGGGGAUUUUGAGUUUGAAGACAUUAUUCUUAAAUUGGGUAGUCACUAGUCCACAAUUAUAUUCACUGCCUUGAUCUUAUGCAUGCUUAGGAGCAAGUCCCAUUGCGCCCAGUGGGGUCAGUGUUCAUAGGUUUACAGCCUGAGUUGUUUUGUGGUCUGAACGAAAGCAGUGUCCUUGCCCUUCCUUACUGCUUUAUCCCCAGCAGCUGGAAUUCAAUGCCCUGUUGAACCCAGAGGUUGUGCUCAUAUUUUACAGGCCAUUCCUCUUGUCCCAGGGUAGGGGAAAGAGACUAUAUUCUUGCUCUCUUGUUAACUUCCUGUUGGCAACUUUCUCCUAUGGUAGUGGGGUGAGGGGAGAGCUGGUUUUGAAAAUGCAUCCACAACAACAGGGGAAUAAUGCAUAAUGUGCUAAAAGCCCUGCAUGACCAGGAAAAAGAAGAAACUAAGAAGUUGCUUUCAUUUACAUGGCUUUGUUCCUCACAAAGGCCAUUCGGACACAGAAUGUGAUUUUGAUCUGGCUUCAUGAUAUUUGAUACAACCUCCAUGUUGUUGAUCUGCUGAAUGAGCAAGCCUUGCAUUAGCAUUCUCCUGCACAGCUACACAAGGUCAGCAGUGAUGAUCUGCCAGCAAUCCAAUUUUCACCACGGCCCAAUGCAAUUAAAAUCUAUUACUAUAUAUUGUAUAUUAUAACUCCAUGCAUAUAGAUUCACAAGUCAAUGGUGCUGGAUAAAGUAAUGCAUAGAAGCACUAAUUCAGGACCAUUCUGCUUGGAUUUUAAAGUGAAAUUAAUUUGUCAUCCCUAGAUGACUUGUCCAAUAUGUCACCAAAAUGCCAAAUUUGAGUGUUACAGUUGUAAAUUGAAUGCUUUUAAUGGACUAGUCUUCACUUACAGAGCUGUGGAAAAUAGGAAAGUCUAGACAAGGCAGGCUCCUGGGAGACAUAGGUUAGUAAAAUAAUUGUCAUUGCAAGGUGGCCUGUUUCCUGAAGUGGGGUAAUAGUAAAAAAAUGAAAGGAGAGAUUCUGCCAGGUUAAGAAUUGAAUUCCUUUGAGAUUUUGAUUCAAUCUCAACUUUAGGAACAUCCAAACUGGUGAGUUGAAGAUGUGGAUUGAGUCAAUCAGUGCAGACUUUGGCACAGGCUGACAUCAUAACAGUGCAUUUGUUAUGGUAAGCAGCAAGGGCACAAAGUAUGUAGGACAAGCCAGAAGACCUUUAGCAACAUUUACUGGUGUACAGUAAAGAGUAAAAUUCAUACCGAUGCUUUGGAACAUCCACAGACUUCACAUUUUGCAGAAUGUAAACCUACUGCUGAGGUGCUUAUUUAUUUACUUAUCUAUAGAACAGACACACAUGCCUCUGUAUAAAGGGCAAGAUCCAAGUCGAACAUUAGAGAUACGUUAGACAUUUUGGAUUUUCACACUGAGUCUUAAUGGACUCAACAGCAAACUUGGAUUAUCUAUGUUGCUUUAACAUCUGUUUAUGAUAAUUAAGGAUUAGUCACAUGAGAAAGCAUACUCACAGCUACAAUAGAUUAUGUUUAAUGAAAGUGGUAUUUAUUCUCUUUCUCUCUGGGAGGCAUUCUCAGAGCUUUCCUGAUGUUCUUAGAGUUCAUUACGGUAUUGUUUUCAUAUUUUGGGUCUUUUUAUUAUGUAUUUUUAUCUGAAGCUAGAGCCACAUCACCUCAUUGCCACCAAUCCACACCAAGUCAGCCCUCUCCACUGCUGCCUCACCUUUUCCAGCUUGCCUUGUUUAUUAUUAUUAUUAUUAUUAUUAUUAUUAUUAUUAUUAUUAAUUUAAUAAUUACAUUUAGAUCACACCUUCCCUCCAAGGAGCCCAAGGUGGCACACAAAUAAUGGUUCUCCCCUGUGAUGUUAAUUAGGCUGAGAGACAGUGAUUAGUUGGAUGUUACCCAGUGGGGAUUUGAACGCUGGUCUCCAGUCUGGCACUCUUAACAAGUACACCACAUUAUUGAAGGGGACUGCUGUCCAGGAAGUCUCUCAGCAACCCUAGGCAUUACUGUAUGCCAUCACAAGCAAGCAUAGCCAUAGCCAGUUGGCACUGGGAAGCAGUAUCAGUGGAUACUGCUGCUCACGCUUGAGGAAACCUUUGGAGCUCCAUUCCUCAUAGUCCUUAAGCCUGAAAGUUAGGCUACUUGCAAAGCUUCUUCCCUCAAUAAGGUUUGAAUUUGGAAAGGUGCAGGCAGAACUAGUGGCUGGGAGGAGUGGUAGCAGAGAAUUGAGCACCUAUGAGCCAAACUUCUGAGGGAAAUAGGACUGAUUCAGAGGGGGCUCAGACUGGUGAAAUUCCCUUUCCAAGUCUUCCCCUCAUUUCUAGAUUUGACACCAUGAUUAAAUGAAUGGUUGUGUGGCAAACAUGGUUUACAAUCGGCUACAUGCAGAUUCCGUUGGGAUCCCCUUACUAUGUGAGUUCUCUGCUAUAUCUUCCAGCGUCACUAUCACUCUUUUGAGUCUCUCUGAAUCCUGAGGAACACAAAGGAGCAGCUGCUGUUCUACAGGAAUGGUCAGUCUUUCAGCAAUAUAGCUCCUAUAUCUUAGGUCACAAGGGCCGAGCUUCAUGUGGGACAACAAAAAGGGGAAAGGGUGAGAAGAAGGGGUAGGAAAGAGAGGGGAAUGGCAAAAAGAGCGAAAUAGAGGUGACCCCUCCCACCCACCUCUGGUCCCCCUUGCUUUUGGUUCCAUUGCCACCCAUCACUGGGGACCACUGACCAUUAGGUCUAGUCGCAGACGACUCUGGGGUUGCGGCGCUCAUCUCGCUUUACUGGCCGAGGAAGCCGGCGUACAGCUUCCGGGUCAUGUGGUGAACCAGAGCAGCGCACGGAAACGCCGUUUACCUUCCCGCCGGAGCGGUACCUAUUUAUCUACUUGCACUUUGACGUGCUUUCGAACUGCUAGGUUGGCAGGAGCAGGGACCGAGCAAUGGGAGCUCACCCCGUCACGGGGAUUCGAACCGCUGACCUUCUGAUCAGCAAGCCCUAGGGUCUGUGGUUUAACCCACAGUGCCACCCGCGUCCCCUAUCGCUGGUAUACAGCCCCCCAAUUAUCCUUGUGGGAAUGUAGCUCUCAACAGAAAAAGCUUGCCCUCCUCUGCUUUAGGUUUUAAUAAUUAGGCAAAAGAUGUCAUUUUAGUAGUUUCUGAAAAUUUGUACCUGCCGACCUUCAGUCCACACUUAAACACAAGUGAGGCUAGACAUUGCUAUUAUACUAUAAAAAUGAUUUGACAACCACUACCAUCCUUUCUCAUAAAGCAAAAACAAACAGCUUGAACAAUGGCAUCCUUUUUUGAAUGCUACAGUUUGAUAACUGCACACAUGCUCCCAUACACUAAAGAGUUUGCCUUUGAAUUUAAUGGAUAAAAGAAAUUGGUCUGUGUCAGAAAUCGGCUUCAUCUGAAUGCUUGGCUGUAUAAUUGUUUAUUCUGAAAAAGAAAUUAUACAAUUCACUAGCACGGCUGCCAAAUUUCAUUGUGGCAUAAAGAAUAUUUUUAUGAGGAGGUAAUAAACCUUUGGAAAGUGAGAUUUGCAAGUGGAUUGCUGACAUCGGAGGAACAACUAGCAAAAACAUGAUAUACACACCUAUCACAAAAUAACACAGCAUUUCAGAAACGACUAUAAAUCAGUAGCUCCCCUUGCUGGGUCAGGGGUGGACUAGGAGUGAUUUGAUGAUUGGUUUUAAUGGCUAUAUCCUUUAGCUCGCUUGGUUAUGGGUGGACUUAUUUCAGUGACCUUUUACCAGCACUUAAAAUCAGAGCUGUGACAGCAUGCUCAAUGGAGGAGACUUCCAUAGCAAACAAACACAGUGAAGUGGGAGGUGGCUGGGUGGGGGAAGAGCAUGGGUAAGGCCACAUCUGCACUAUACAUUUAAAGUAGUAUCAUACCACUUUCCCCAAAGAAUCCUGGGGACUGUAAUUUGCUAAAGGUGCUGAGAGUUGUUAAAAGGUAAAAGUAAAGGUACCCCUGACCAUUAGGUCCAUUCGUGGCCGACUCUGGGGUUGCGGCGCUCAUCUCGCUUUAUUGGCCGAGGGAGCCAGCGUACAGCUUCCGGGUCAUGUGGCCAGCAUGACUAAGCCGCUUCUGGCAAAACAGAGCAGCACACGGAAACGCCGUUUACCUUCCCACCUGAGCGGUACCUAUUUAUCUACUUGCACUUUGACGUGUUUUCGAACUGCUAGGUUGGCAGGAGCAGGGACCGAGCAACGGGAGCUCACCCCGUCGCAGGGAUUCGAACCACCGACCUUCUGAUCGGCAAGCCCUAGGCUCUGUGGUUUAGACCACAGCACCACCCGCUUCCCUAGCGCCACCUGCAUCCCAUUUUUAGGAGAUCCUUAUUCCCCUCACAGAGCUUCUUUUCCAGAGUUCCCUGGGAAGAGGGAUUGGUUGUCUGGCCACUCUGGAAAUGGCUGCUCCAUGAGGGGAAUAGGGGUCUCCUAACAACUCUCACACUCCUCUCCCAUCCAGACAAGCAAGAGGCAUUAUCAGAGAGUCCACAGACACUGUCUAGCAAGGCAAAAACACUCAAGGUGUGAAGCAGGUGGUGGGGAGGUAGGGGUGUGGUAUGUGGAGAGCCCCAAGGACAAGGUAGACAGGCCUGGAAGCCUCAUUCCAUCCCUGGGCCUGAGAUUCCACAUCCUUGGACUAAAUGCUUUAUUGUGAGAGGGCAUUCACAGCCAGCAGCUUAUCUUAUAAGAUCUAUGUAAUCCAAUUCAGGAGUAAAUAUGGCGAUUUGUAGUGGCUCCAAUCCAACCUGGAUGGUCUGGGCAGAGUCCAAAAUUUAUUUAGAGCCUUGUACAGUCAUGGCAUGUGCCUCUCCCUUUCUUGCUUCCAAUCAUAUGUUUAAUCAGGGUUUAAAACCCUUAUUCUUCUCCUCUGACCACAUGUUUAAUCAGGAUUUAACCCUCUUUGACAGCCCUGGGUUGACCCAAUACAACCUGAAGUGAUCCAAGGCUGCCUCAACCCAAUCUAAGCAAAUUGGCCCAAUUCAGUUCAGGUUCUGAGAUUUGGUUGGAUCUGGUGCACAGCCCUAGUAGUAAUAUACAAUCUAUGUAUUUAUUUCUUCAGAUUUUUAUCCAUAUCAGUAUUAUUUAUUCAUCUACCACUUAAUGUUCUUCUAAGUGGUUUGCAAAUCAUGAAACCAAUUGAACUGCAUUGUUAAAAUACAGAUUAAAGUAUCCUAUAAAACAAUCCAUUAAAACAUUAAUAUUGCAAAGGCACAUUGUACCAUUCCCAAAUGCUGUAACAAAAUAACCUCCGGAAUGCAACAAUAACUAGCAAUUAAAGCCUCACUGUUGGUGAAAUUCUACACCUCUUUUUAUCCCAGAACCACCCACCCUAGAUCAGAAUGAGACUUAGCUAGUUCAGAACAUAAGAAGGGCCUGCUGGAUCAAGCCAAUGACCCAUUUAGUCCAUCAUUCUGUUCUCACAGUGGCCAUUCAGAUGCCUUUGGGAAGCCAUAAAGAAGAUCCAGUCUGAGCCAAGAUGAUCCACAGCUGAAGCAACCAGGACCCAAGAGACCAUUCCACUGUGAAAUAGCUCUUACUGUCAGAAAGUUAUUCCUGAUGUUUAGUUUAAAUCUUUUCUUCUAAUUUGAAGCCAUCUUCCAUGUGACAGCCCUUUAGAUAUUUGAAGAUGGUUAUCAUAUCUCCUCUGUCUCCUCUUUUUCCAGGCUAAACAUACACACAACUCCUUCAAGCACAGACAGUGUUGGCUCUGCUACAACAUCAGGUAAUCCUCAAAAUCACUUUGCAGCUCAGGGAAAACCAACCUGUUGCAGUGAGCCACUCCUGGGGAGUCACACAAUCAAAUGUACUUAGUGCUUUGCUUUCCCAGUAAAUUCCAUGUAAUUCCAUAAAGAAAGGUGAAUUGCCCUUUCAGUCCACUUGAAUUGCUACCAUUCACUGACAGGUGACAACCUAACUAGGCUCCAAGGAGAAGAAUCCAAAACUAUUAGCCUGCCCACUGCAACACCUUCUAAUUAAUUUGGACACAGAUAGUUGGAUUUUUACGAAAAGGAAUGUGCUCUUGCCCGGGAAUCAUUGCUCCAACCUUUGCUAUUGACUUUAGUUCCUCCUUCCGUGGAAAUGCUAACAGAUAUACUAAGUCUGAUGACUUGAAAGAAGUUGUGAGGUUUUUGGCUGAACCAGCAUUUCCACAAAUAUCUAAAUGCUGAUAAAUAUAUGUGCAAGUGGCCUGCCCUCAAAGUUGAUGAAUUUCUGGACAUCCUUUAGACAUUUUUGCAUUUAGAAAAGAAGCUAAUAUUUACACAUUGCACUCAAUUCUUACAAGCUACUUCUUUAUGCAUUGAUGCAGGCUGUUCAUCCUCCCUCUCUUAGAGGUCUGCGGCAUAAUUUAUUUAUAGCAUAAACCUGGACGGAUGGGAAUUAGAUGUGGUUUGAUACUUUUAUGUUUCCUUAGCUCCAUCCAGAUGCCAAAUUUACAUCUGCAUGAAUAUAGAGGGUGUAAAGUUAAACAACAUAAAAGAAGCAGCACGCAGCUAAGACAUAAUAUUUAAAUGAGUUGUUACUUAGAUUAUACAGAGACAUUUAAUGGCCCCUGUAUCUCUUCUCCCCCAAGCCAAAGUCUUUAGAGAUUCCUUCUUUUCAUUCCUGUACCAUAAUAACCAUUAUUUACCUAUUAAAAUGCUACUUAACACAACAGGGUUUCUGCCAAAAGAACUUGUUCCUCCUCUGCACAAAAAAUAUUCUGUAAAGGAAAUGGUUCUAGGAACCUCCACAGCCCUAGUUAAUGCUUGUCAGUGUUGAAUCUGUUCUUGCGUGCCAAGGCCCCAUGAUCCGCAGUUCCCCAGUGGAUAAAUAAAACACACGAAGAAGCGAAUUUUGAUUUAUGGAUUCAAAUACUUUAUUGGUUACAAAGGCAAGCAGUUUGGCUUAGGCAUCUGGUAAAGCCAGACUAUCUUUCAAAGUUGUGGUGAUUCUUAUGAGGUAGGCGAAAACCAAAUGGCUGGAGCCAGUUGCCAAGUGGAAGAAUUUUCGCCCCAUCCCAAACAUUUGUCCAUAGCAAGGUUGUAUUGCAGCAAAGCCGAAAAAGAGGGCCGGUGGGUGGGGGAUCCAGCAAACGGCCUGAGAGGACAGUCUCCCCGCUGCGCCGUGGUUUAAAUUCCCUGUGGUCACACCCCCUGUCAGCGCUGAUUGGUCAGUGGGGCCCUGCCCAGUGCCACUGGCAUGGGCAAGCGGUAGCGAGGAGGGCGCAAGUCUCCAUCCCCUGGCCAGACCACCAUGGGGCCCAGCCACAAUGCCACCCACCAAAUAAGGUAAGUGGACUUGUAGCAAAGGGAUGGGAAAUCUGUGUUCCUUCAGAUGUUGCUGGACUACAGUUCGCAUCAUGUCUAACCAAUGGCCAUGUUGGCUGGGACUGAUGGCAUUUAGAGUCCAAAUUUAGAGGAGGGACACAGGUUCUGCACCCCUGGUGUGGCAAAAUCUGUCUGUUACUGUCAAAAAGUAUGAAAAUCUAAACUCCGGAAGGGUUAUGGACCAUUAACUCAUGGGAAUAAUGUCAAUAUUUUCCACUCCCUGCUGCUCCUUUCAACAGUCUUGUGUUUCUGCUUCCAUGUUCCAACUAAUCCCUGCCCCAUUUCUGAUUCCCCUUGAGCUGCCAAAUUGUCAAAUAAACCACCAUAUUUCUCAAUUAAAAUAUUCUUAAAAACUAAGCAUACAUCUACAUUUUCUGCAGCUUGUUCUUAUUUCGGCCCACAGGUAAGUUUUUGCAUUUAGAGGCUAUAUAAGCCAUGCACUCUGCAAUGGUUCCAUUCAAAUGAAUACAGUCAUCCCAGCGUAGUUACAUCAUAUGUACAGCUCUUUAAAGAAUGCAGUAGACUUCUGAAUCAACAUGUCUGCCUCUAGUACCUAGUAUAGGGCUGAGGGAAGAAAACGAAGAAUUGGCACCGGUGAAAGAAAUUAAAACUCAGAAUUAUAAAGUGGGGUGUGUUGAUAAAUAGGCAUCUGCCAUGGGUUUGCCUAGCCCACAGGCACUUUUAAUGAAGACAGAUUUCAACAGCUGCUCGAACAAAUGUUUAAUAUAUUGAAAUCAUUUAUGUUCAUUUGUAGCAAAUAAUUACAUUACAAAGUAGCUAUUCAUUUGAAUUACUUUAAUAAUUGUAGAUGUAAUUGUUUUAAGUGUUGUAUUCAGGAAUGCAUUCCACAACAAGGCAUAUUUCAUUGCUUGAUGAGAACCAGGCAAGAGACAAAGGAGACAAGACACACCUAGGUCCGUUUGAACUGGAAUCUUUUAGCCAAGACCACACAACACAGGGACAAAACAGGGCUGCUGGACAUGGGCCUAGCCAGGAUUUUUGUUGGGAGGAGGCAGAACCUCAGCUAGUUAGGUAUUUUUAUUGAUUAGGUGGAGGGCAGCUGCCCCUCCCUGCCUCCUUUGACUAUGCCCAUGCUGCUGGAUCAAACAAAGGGACAAUCAAGUCCAACAUCCUGUGGGAUCAGAUGCCCUCUGGGAAGUACGCAAGUAGGACAUGGGCACAAUAACACUCUCUUACUUGUGGUCCCCAGCAACUGGUAUUCCUAGCAAUACUGACUCUGUGCCUCAAGUGGCUUUUGACAGACUUAUCCUGGUUGCUCAAUAAUAGUUCCUCUAAAGUAAAUGGGAUGGAUCCAGAAUUAAACACUUUCUCUGUUAGAUACCAGUUGGGAUUUAAAGAUCUAACAGAGUUGCCUUAUUGAUGGCAAUGCCACAUUUCCCAGGAAUUUGAUAUGUGGUAACUCAAGAAACGUUCUUGAUACAUGCACCGUGUUUGUGGACAAAUCUCUCUCUACAGUUGGCGGCAAGUCUUACAAGUGUAGGGUGCUGUGCAAACAGCUUCUUACUCACUCAGGCUUCCGGUUGAAUCUGUGUUGUUGCACUUUGUAAAUAGUUGUUUGGUUGUGUAUGUACCGACAUCAGUUUUUCAUAGUUUAUAUGUUGGGCGACUUUGAUUUCAUUGAGUUUUAUUGGUACUGUACCCUGUUUUGGGAUUGUUUUAUCAUGGAAAGUGAAAAUCGAUUUUUAUUUUAAAAGCAAAUGAAUCAGUAAGUGACCUUCCAGGUCAGAAUGGAUAGCUAUAUUGUAGUUGCUGAAAGUUAUUUAGAUUUUGUUGCUGUUGUUUAUUCUAUAGCAGCUACAUGGCUCCAUAGCAGCAGGUGAUCUGAAGGCAGUGAUGGGGAAUCUCUGAAAAGUGGACCUAAAUUGAAACUAAAACUAAGAAUUGCAAUAAUCUCCCCAGUAAAGAGCUGCAAGUGUCUUUUCUGAUGGCUUGAAAUAUUUCCUAACUGUGACAAUAAUGCAAAUGUGUGUGUAUGUGUGUGUGUGUGUGCCCACACCAAUUUUUGUAAUUAUACCACUUGCAAUAUAGACAAAAAAAUACAGUAUGGAAAGGCUAUCCCAAAGCUUGUUCACUGAUUGCCCUUCAGUCUUCCUUGAUAAAUGGGGAUUAGCAAGGCUAUUUUUCUUCUAUUCAUGUUAAAAUAGAGACAAGACUACUUUUGCUGUUUUACAACAGGAAGCAAAAGAGCUGCUGUGCUUUCCCAGUGACUGAAUAUUAUUCUCCAUUUCCUCUAAACAGCACAAAGGCUAACGGAUCGUACAGCAAGCAAAGAAGUGAAAAGAGAGACCAAAGAAUUAUCCAUCCCCAUUAUCUAUAAUAAGGGAUGGCAGAGGAAUUCAUUUCAGUUUGCAUUUAAAGGCAAAACCUACUGAGUCUACAUUUUCCAAAAUAAUAUGUGAACCUAAAUACAGCCACUCUUUGAUAUUCACACUUCCCUUAAUUUCACGGUGCAGAGAGAAUUCCCUGAUUUGAGCUGAAAGAGAUCUAUAGUGAAC
rnacentral:lncRNA from 1 species